CCUACGGGAGGCAGCAGUGGGGAAUAUUGGACAAUGGGCGAAAGCCUGAUCCAGCCAUGCCGCGUGUGUGAAGAAGGCCUUCGGGUUGUAAAGCACUUUCAGUGGGGAAGAAAGCCUUGGGGCUAAUACCCUCGAGGAAGGACAUCACCCACAGAAGAAGCACCGGCUAACUCCGUGCCAGCAGCCGCGGUAAUACGGAGGGUGCGAGCGUUAAUCGGAAUUACGGGGCGUAAAGCGCGCGUAGGCGGUCUGAUAAGCCGGUUGUGAAAGCCCCGGGCUCAACCUGGGAACGGCAUCCGGAACUGUCAGGCUAGAGUGCAGGAGAGGAAGGUAGAAUUCCCGGUGUAGCGGUGAAAUGCGUAGAGAUCGGGAGGAAUACCAGUGGCGAAGGCGGCCUUCUGGACUGACACUGACGCUGAGGUGCGAAAGCGUGGGUAGCAAACAGGAUUAGAUACCCUUGUAGUC
rnacentral:rRNA from 1 species